AAUAGAUACCCCGGUAGUCCACGCCGUAAACGAUGAGUGCUAAGUGUUAGAGGGUUUCCGCCCUUUAGUGCUGCAGCUAACGCAUUAAGCACUCCGCCUGGGGAGUACGGCCGCAAGGCUGAAACUCAAAGGAAUUGACGGGGGGCCCGCACAAGCGGUGGAGCAUGUGGUUUAAUUCGAAGCAACGCGAAGAACCUUACCAGGUCUUGACAUCCUCUGACCUCCCUGGAGACAGGGCCUUCCCCCUUCGGGGGACAGAGUGACAGGUGGUGCAUGGUUGUCGUCAGCUCGUGUCGUGAGAUGUUGGGUUAAGUCCCGCAACGAGCGCAACCCUUGACCUUAGUUGCCAGCAUUCAGUUGGGCACUCUAAGGUGACUGCCGGUGACAAACCGGAGGAAGGUGGGGGAUGACGUCAAAUCAUCAUGCCCCUUAUGACCUGGGCUACACACGUGCUACAAUGGAUGGGUACAAAGGGCUGCAAGACCGCGAGGUUAAGCCAAUCCCAAAAAACCCAUUCCCAGUUCGGAUUGCAGGCUGCAACCCG
rnacentral:rRNA from 1 species